GAUGAACGCUGGCGGCGUGCCUAAUACAUGCAAGUCGAGCGAACGGACGAGAAGCUUGCUUCUCUGAUGUUAGCGGCGGACGGGUGAGUAACACGUGUAUAACCUACCUAUAAGACUGGUAUAACUUCGGGAAACCGGAGCUAAUACCGGAGAAUAUUUUGAACCGCAUGGUUCAAAAGUGAGAGACGGUCUUGCUGGCACUUAUAGAUGGAUCCGCGCUGCAUUAGCUAGUUGGUAAGGUAACGGCUUACCAAGGCAACGAUGCAUAGCCGACCUGAGAGGGUGAUCGGCCACCCUGGAACUGAGACACGGUCCAGACUCCUACGGGAGGCAGCCGUAGGGAAUCUUGCGCAAUGGGCGAAAGCCUGACGGAGCAACGCCGCGUGCGUGAUGAAGGUCUUCGGAUCGUAAAACUCUGUUAUUAGGGAAGAACAUAUGUGUAAGUAACUGUGCACAUCUUGACGGUACCUAAUCAGAGAGCCACGGCUAACUACGUG
rnacentral:rRNA from 1 species